UACUAGAAAGUGCGCGCGCACUAUCUGGCGUUCGCGAGCGGCCGCUCCUUGGCCACACGAUGUGGCCCGAACCACCGCGCGCAUCGGCCAGGUGCUACCUGGUCAGGCACUCUCACCCGCUCGCGUUUGUGUCUAUCCCCACGUGUCCAAGCCCUUCGCCCCAAUCCUCCUCGCAUGGCCGCCGCCGCCACACCUGAGGCCGGCCAUCUCCACCCUCUUGAUUCAGCCGCCUCUGCCACAACUCGCGUCGGCCGCCGCCGACCCACCUCCCGAGCGUUCCAUCCUAGAGGUGCAGUGAUUUUACUUUUCUCCUUUCGCCGGAGUUUGGAGAAGAAGGUGCUGACUGCUGUAAUUAAUUGGACGGGAGGUUAAAUCGGCCGGCAUCGCAGUCGGCUGUCACCGCGCACCUUUGUUCAGCACGGCGACGACGGCGAGCACUGUAUGGUAGCGGUGCCCACCAGCUCGUCUCGCUGCAGGCAGACUCUCUUUGUGGUGCUCGCCGGUGGCGCUUGCUGGCGCAGCGGCCUUCUAGUCAAGGUGCAUGGAAGAUUUUGUGAGAUGUGGAUGAAUCUGUGGGUCGGAGUUGGAGUCAAGGUGGAGCUUAUCAUGUGGAUUUCGUGGAGCCACUUGUUGUGAAGGCCGGAGCAGACAUGGAGAUCUAUGACAGUGUGAAAGAAGAAACCAAGAUCGUCUCUUGUUUGCGUCUGCAAGCAGCAAGCAGCAAGCCUACUUCCAGUGUCCUACCAGCUGCAUCAGGUCAAAGUUUGUUCGCCAUCCAAGCUCAUUUGGCUACAAGAGGAUGCUGCCAUUUCUCAUGGAGAACGGUGGCCAAGUUCAGAAAUUGUCUAAAUUGCCAUCAGAUGAGAUUCAGUCUGCCAUUGUGGAAGUUCAUUUGGAUGACAGUGCAGCUAAAGUGCACAAAUCCACAUCAGAAGAAGAGUUAGCUUCGGUUGGAGAA